rnacentral:rRNA from 1 species
CGCUGGCGGCGUGCUUCAUACAUGCAAGUCGAACGAUAAGGUUCCUUCGGGAAUACAUAAGUGGCGGACGGGUGAGUAAUAUGUAGAGAAUCUGCCCUGAAGAGGGGGACAACAGAGGGAAACUUCUGCUAAUACCCCAUAUGCGCGUAGUUGAGAUACUAUUCGUGAAAGAUUUAUCGCUUCAGGAUGAGUCUGCAUCUGAUUAGCUAGUUGGGGUGUAAUGGACCACCAAGGCGACGAUCAGUAGCUGGUUUGAGAGGAUGAUCAGCCACAAUGGGACUGAGACACGGCCCAUACUCCUACGGGAGGCAGCAGUAGGGAAUUUUGCGCAAUGGGCGAAAGCCUGACGCAAGCAACGCCGCGUGAUCGCAGACGGCCUUCGGGUUGUAAAGAUCUGUCAGUAGGGACGAAAAUGACUGUACCUACAGAGGAAGCACCGGCUAACUCCGUGCCAGCAGCGGC